GUGCCAGCAGCCGCGGUAAGACGUAGGGGGCCAGCGUUGCUCGGAAUAACUGGGCGUAAAGGGUCCGUAGGCGGUGUGGCAAGUCGGGAGUGAAAUCUCUGGGCUUAACCCAGGGGCUGCUUCCGAAACUGCCGUGCUAGAGUGCGAGAGAGGUGAGUGGAAUUGCAGGUGUAGCGGUGAAAUGCGUAGAUAUCUGCAGGAACACCCGUGGCGAAGGCGGCUCACUGGAUCGCAACUGACGCUGAGAGACGAAAGCUAGGGGAGCAAACAGGAUUAGAUACCCUGGUAGUCC
rnacentral:rRNA from 1 species